rnacentral:rRNA from 1 species
UACGUAGGGUGCGAGCGUUGUCCGGAUUUAUUGGGCGUAAAGAGCUUGUAGGCGGCUCGUCACGUCGGGUGUGAAAACUCGCGGCUCAACCGCGAGCCUGCACCCGAUACGGGCGGGCUAGAGUUCGGCAGGGGAGACUGGAAUUCCCGGUGUAGCGGUGAAAUGCGCAGAUAUCGGGAGGAACACCGGUGGCGAAGGCGGUUCUCUGGGCCUUACCUGACGCUGAGGAGCGAAAGCGUGGGGAGCGAACAGG